GACGAACGCUGGCGGCGUACUUAACACAUGCAAGUCGAACGGAAAGGCCCUGCUUUUGUGGGGUGCUCGAGUGGCGAACGGGUGAGUAACACGUGAGUAACCUGCCCUUGACUUUGGGAUAACUUCAGGAAACUGGGGCUAAUACCGGAUAGGAGCUCCUGCUGCAUGGUGGGGGUUGGAAAGUUUCGGCGGUUGGGGAUGGACUCGCGGCUUAUCAGCUUGUUGGUGGGGUAGUGGCUUACCAAGGCUUUGACGGGUAGCCGGCCUGAGAGGGUGACCGGCCACAUUGGGGCUGAGAUACGGCCCAGACUCCUACGGGAGGCAGCAGUGGGGAAUAUUGCACAAUGGGCGGAAGCCUGAUGCAGCAACGCCGCGUGCGGGAUGACGGCCUUCGGGUUGUAAACCGCUUUCGCCUGUGACGAAGCGUGAGUGACGGUAAUGGGUAAAGAAGCACCGGCUAACUACGUG
rnacentral:rRNA from 1 species